rnacentral:rRNA from 1 species
GCUACAGGCUUAACACAUGCAAGUCGAGGGGCAGCAUGGUCUUAGCUUGCUAAGGCCGAUGGCGACCGGCGCACGGGUGAGUAACGCGUAUCCAACCUGCCUUACACUCUUGGACAGCCUUCUGAAAGGGAGAUUAAUACAAGAUGUUAUCAUGAGUAAGCAUUUUCGCAUGAUUAAAGGUUUACCGGUGUAAGAUGGGGAUGCGUUCCAUUAGAUAGUAGGCGGGGUAACGGCCCACCUAGUCUUCGAUGGAUAGGGGUUCUGAGAGGAAGGUCCCCCACAUUGGAACUGAGACACGGUCCAAACUCCUACGGGAGGCAGCAGUGAGGAAUAUUGGUCAAUGGACGAGAGUCUGAACCAGCCAAGUAGCGUGAAGGAUGAAGGUUCUAUGGAUUGUAAACUUCUUUCAUACGGGAAUAAACGGAUCCACGUGUGGAUUUUUGCAUGUACCGUAUGAAUAAGGAUCGGCUAACUCCGUGCCAGCAGCCGCGGUAAUACGGAGGAUCCGAGCGUUAUCCGGAUUUAUUGGGUUUAAAGGGAGCGUAGAUGGGUUGUUAAGUCAGUUGUGAAAGUUUGCGGCUCAACCGUAAAAUUGCAAUUGAUACUGGCAGUCUUGAGUACAGUUGAGGUAGGCGGAAUUCGUGGUGUAGCGGUGAAAUGCUUAGAUAUCACGAAGAACUCCGAUUGCGAAGGCAGCUUACUAACCUGUAACUGACAUUGAUGCUCGAAAGUGUGGGUAUCAAACAGGAUUAGAUACCCUGGUAGUCCACACGGUAAACGAUGAAUACUCGCUGUAGGCGAUAUACAGUCUGCGGCCAAGCGAAAGCAUUAAGUAUUCCACCUGGGGAGUACGCCGGCAACGGUGAAACUCAAAGGAAUUGACGGGGGCCCGCACAAGCGGAGGAACAUGUGGUUUAAUUCGAUGAUACGCGAGGAACCUUACCCGGGCUUAAAUUGCAACCGAAUAUGGCGGAAACGCUAUAGCUAGCAAUAGCGGUUGUGAAGGUGCUGCAUGGUUGUCGUCAGCUCGUGCCGUGAGGUGUCGGCUUAAGUGCCAUAACGAGCGCAACCCUUGCCGAUAGUUACUAACAGGUCAUGCUGAGGACUCUGUCGGGACUGCCAUCGUAAGAUGUGAGGAAGGUGGGGAUGACGUCAAAUCAGCACGGCCCUUACGUCCGGGGCUACACACGUGUUACAAUGGGGGGUACAGAGGGCUGCUACCACGCAAGUGGAUGCCAAUCCCAAAAACCUCUCUCAGUUCGGAUUGAAGUCUGCAACCCGACUUCAUGAAGCUGGAUUCGCUAGUAAUCGCGCAUCAGCCACGGCGCGGUGAAUACGUUCCCGGGCCUUGUACACACCGCCCGUCAAGCCAUGGGAGCCGGGGGUACCUGAAGUGCGUAACCGCAAGGAGCGCCCUAGGGUAAAACUGGUGACUGGGGCUAAGUCAUAA